rnacentral:rRNA from 1 species
UACGUAGGGUGCGAGCGUUGUCCGGAAUUAUUGGGCGUAAAGAGCUUGUAGGCGGUUUGUCGCGUCUGCCGUGAAAAUUCGAGGCUCAACCUCGAACUUGCGGUGGGUACGGGCAGACUAGAGUGUGGUAGGGGAGACUGGAAUUCCUGGUGUAGCGGUGAAAUGCGCAGAUAUCGGGAGGAACACCGGUGGCGAAGGCGGUUCUCUGGGCCUUACCUGACGCUGAGGAGCGAAAGCGUGGGGAGCGAACAGG